rnacentral:rRNA from 1 species
CAGUAGCCACGGGAAUACGGAGGGUGCAAGCGUUAAUCGGAAUUACUGGGCGUAAAGCGCACGCAGGCGGUCUGACAAGUCAGAUGUGAAAUCCCCGGGCUUAACCUGGGAACUGCAUUUGAAACUGUCAGGCUGGAGUCUUGUAGAGGGGGGUGGAAUUCCAGGUGUAGCGGUGAAAUGCGUAGAGAUCUGGAGGAAUACCGGUGGCGAAGGCGGCCCCCUGGACAAAGACUGACGCUCAGGUGCGAAAGCGUGGGGAGCAAACAGGAUUAGAUACCCCCGUAGUCCUUGUCUCUUAUAC